GGUAAUUUAUGAAAAAAAAAAAGAGAUUUAAUGAACUUACAUUUCCACGUGGCUGGGGUAGCCUCACAAUAAUGGUGGAAGGCAAAGAGGAGCCAGUCACAUCUUACAUGGAUGGCAGCAGACAAAGAGAGAGAGCUUUUGCAGGAAAACUCCCAUUUUUAAAACCAUCAGAUAUUGUGAGACUCAUUCUCUAACAGAAGAACAGUGUAGGGAACACCCGCCCCCAUAAUUCGAUCACUUUCCACUGGGUUCCUUCUAUGACACAUGGGAACUGUAGAAGUUACACUUCAAGAGGAGAUUUGGGUGAGGACACAGCCAAACCAUAUUAUUCAAAAAAUUUAUUGGGAUAAACCUGAGAAGACAAAAAUGGACCAAGUGAGAAGCUGAUCUAGGCUGGUCUGCUUGGCUUGACGCCAAGCUCCAGAUCAUAUCCAAGGGUGUCCUAUGCAUCUCUCAUCCUCUUUGGAACAGCAGGCUAGUCAGGGCCUGUUCCCCUCAUGGAGAUGGCAGAUGUGUAAGGAAGUGUGAUUGACAAAUGGGAUCUAAAUAAACUAAAGAGCUUCUGCACAGCAAAAGAAACUACC
rnacentral:lncRNA from 10 species